rnacentral:rRNA from 1 species
AUUGAACGCUGGCGGCAUGCUUUACACAUGCAAGUCGAACGGUAACAGGCCUUCGGGUGCUGACGAGUGGCGAACGGGUGAGUAAUGCAUCGGAACGUGCCCAGAGGUGGGGGAUAACGCAGCGAAAGCUGUGCUAAUACCGCAUGUGAUCUGAGGAUGAAAGCGGGGGACCCAGCAGCAAUGUUUGGCCUCGCGCCUCUGGAGCGGCCGAUGUCAGAUUAGGUAGUUGGUGGGGUAAAGGCCUACCAAGCCGACGAUCUGUAGCUGGUCUGAGAGGACGACCAGCCACACUGGGACUGAGACACGGCCCAGACUCCUACGGGGGGCAGCAGUGGGGAAUUUUGGACAAUGGGCGCAAGCCUGAUCCAGCAAUGCCGCGUGCGGGAAGAAGGCCUUCGGGUUGUAAACCGCUUUUGUACGGAACGAAAAGGCUCUGGCUAAUACCUGGGGCUGAUGACGGUACCGUAAGAAUAAGCACCGGCUAACUACGUG